UACGUAGGGGGCAAGCGUUGUCCGGAAUCAUUGGGCGUAAAGCGCGUGUAGGCGGCCCGGUAAGUCCGCUGUGAAAGUCGGGGGCUCAACCCUCGAAUGCCGGUGGAUACUGUCGGGCUAGAGUGCGGGAGAGGCGAGUGGAAUUCCUGGUGUAGCGGUGAAAUGCGCAGAUAUCAGGAGGAACACCGGUGGCGAAGGCGGUGAUCUGGGCCAGUACUGACGCUGAGGAGCGAAAGCGUGGGUAGCAAACAGG
rnacentral:rRNA from 1 species